rnacentral:rRNA from 1 species
CCUACGGGCGGCAGCAGUAGGGAAUCUUUCACAAUGGGUGAAAGCCUGAUGGAGCAACGCCGCGUGCAGGAUGAAGGCCUUCGGGUUGUAAACUGCUUUUAUAAGCGAGAAAUAUGAUGGUAACUUAUGAAUAAGGAUCGGCUAACUACGUGCCAGCAGCCGCGGUCAUACGUAGGAUCCGAGCAUUAUCCGGAGUGACUGGGUGUAAAGCGCUCGUAGGCGGUAUGUCAAGUCAAGGGUGAAAUCCCCGCGCUCAACGUGGGAACUGCCUUUGAAACUGGCAAACUGGAGUGUGUGAGAGGAUAGUGGAAUUCCAGGUGUAGGAGUGAAAUCCGUAGAUAUCUGGAGGAACAUCAGUGGCGAAGGCGACUAUCUGGCACAUAACUGACGCUGAGGAGCGAAAGCGUGGGUAGCAAACAGGAUUAGAUACCCUGGUAGUC